UACGUAGGGGGCUAGCGUUGUCCGGAAUCAUGGGGCGUAAAGGGUGUGUAGGUGGCGCCGUAAGUCGGGUGUGAAAUUUCGGAGCUUAACUCCGAAACUGCAUUCGAUACUGCGGUGCUUGAGGACUGGAGAGGAGACUGGAAUUCAUGGUGUAGCAGUGAAAUGCGUAGAGAUCAUGAGGAAGACCAGUGGCGAAGGCGGGUCUCUGGACAGUUCCUGACACUGAGACACGAAGGCCAGGGGAGCAAACGGG
rnacentral:rRNA from 1 species